rnacentral:rRNA from 1 species
UGCCAGCAGCCGCGGUAAUACGUAGAAGGCGAACGUUAUCCGGAUUUACUGGGCGUAAAGAGGGUGUAGACGGUUCUUUAAGUCAGUUGUGAAAUCUCCCGACUCAAUCGAGAGACUGCAAUUGAUACUGGAGAGCUUGAGGGCAUCAGAAGAAAGCAGAAUUCACGGUGUAGCGGUGAAAUGCGUAGAUAUCGUGAGGAAUACCAGUGGCGAAGGCGGCUUUCUAGGAUGCUCCUGACGUUGAGGCCCGAAAGUGUGGGGAGCGAAACGGAUUAGAUACCCGUGUAGUCCACACCCUAAACGUUGAAUACUAGGUAUAGGGGUAUCGACCCUCUCUGUGCCGAAGCUAACGCUCUAAGUAUUCCGCCUGGGGACUACGGCCACAAGGCUAAAACUCAAAUGAAUUGACGG